ensembl:miRNA
GGAGUCAGGACCCAGUGCUGCUCUGUUGAACUCAAAAGCUGAACCCUGUUGUUGACUUCAACAGGAGCAAGACUGAGCCCUGAUUUUCC